ACCCUGAUCCAGCCAUGCCGCGUGAGUGAAGAAGGCCUUCGGGUUGUAAAGCUCUUUCAGCCGGAACGAAACGGUCACGGCUAAUACCUGUGACUACUGACGGUACCGGAAGAAGAAGCACCGGCUAACUACGUGCCAGCAGCCGCGGUAAUA
rnacentral:rRNA from 1 species